AAUGAACGCUGGCGGCAUGCCUUACACAUGCAAGUCGAACGGCAGCAUGACCUAGCUUGCUAGGUUGAUGGCGAGUGGCGAACGGGUGAGUAAUGCAUCGGAACGUGCCUUUUAGUGGGGGAUAACGUAGCGAAAGUUACGCUAAUACCGCAUAUUCUCUGAGGAGGAAAGCAGGGGACCUUCGGGCCUUGCGCUAGAAGAGCGGCCGAUGUCGGAUUAGCUAGUUGGUGAGGUAAAGGCUCACCAAGGCAACGAUCCGUAGCGGGUCUGAGAGGAUGAUCCGCCCCACGGGGACUGGGACCGGGCCCAGACUCCUACGGGGGGCAGGAGGGGGGAAUUUGGAACAAGGGGCGAAAGCCUGACCCAGCCAUGCCGGGGGAGUGAAGAAGGCCUUCGGGUUGUAAAGCUCUUUCGGCUGGGAAGAAAUCGCACCCUCUAAUACAGGGGGGGGGUGACGGUACCAGCAUAAGAAGCACCGGCUAACUACGU
rnacentral:rRNA from 1 species